UAGCUCAGCAAUAGAGCAUGAGACUCUUGAUCUCAGGGUCGUGAGUUUGAGCCCCAC
rnacentral:tRNA from 1 species